AAACAGCCCCCUAUGUUUUGAUUCUUUGGCAGUUUUGGACCCCCAAGGCAAAAAAAAAUAAAAUAAAAAUUGAUACGUGGCACCUCACUUAGGGUGCCACGUCAGCGUUGACCGAGUCAACAAUGGACUGGGGGUCCAAAACUGCCAAAGAAUCAAAACAUAGGGGGUUGUUU
rfam:Medicago truncatula strain A17 chromosome 2, whole genome shotgun sequence.